CUGGUCAGAUCUGACUUUGUCGAAUUAAACCAGGAGCUUGGAAACGAAUUUUUGAAUGAAACCAAUUGGGGGAUAAUUGGUUUAUACCAUGGUGAUAACCGAGAGAGGCAAUUGCUAAGUUGUGAUGCACUCAUACCUUUACUAGAUGCGAACAAUUCCGGAGAAGAAGAAGAACUGGAAUCGGACGAGGAUUUUAUUUAUGUUGUUGGGAUUCUUAUAUUGAUGGAGUUGAAGAAGUGCAGGGACAAAUAAGCCAAGGCAAGCCAUCUUUUGAUCUCUGAUUCGGUGUCUAGUUGGAUGUCAUUUGUUGAUAUCCAAAGCACCUUGAUUCUAUGUGUGUUGUUCUCUUUAUUAUUGUCAUCUAUGUAUGGUUGCUAGUGGGGUACUCCCUAGUAGUGACACUCCACUAUUGUCUUUGUGAUUAUGGGAUGCAUGGUAUCAUGGCCGUGCUAUUCCUCUUGAUUAUCUUGUAUGCUCGACUUGAGCAUGUUCCAUCUCCAGAUAAUGACUUACACCACACACACACCAUUUUUGUAGUA